CGCGGCCUAUCAGCUUGUUGGUGAGGUAAUGGCUCACCAAGGCGACGACGGGUAGCCGGCCUGAGAGGGUGACCGGCCACACUGGGACUGAGACACGGCCCAGACUCCUACGGGAGGCAGCAGUGGGGAAUAUUGCACAAUGGGCGAAAGCCUGAUGCAGUGACGCCGCGUGAGGGAUGACGGCCUUCGGGUUGUAAACCUCUUUCAGUAGGGAAGAAGCGAAAGUGACGGUACCUGCAGAAGAAGCACCGGCUAACUACGUGCCAGCAGCCGCGGUAAUACGUAGGGUGCGAGCGUUAUCCGGAAUUAUUGGGCGUAAAGAGCUCGUAGGCGGUUUGUCGCGUCUGUCGUGAAAGUCCGGGGCUUAACCCCGGAUCUGCGGUGGGUACGGGCAGACUAGAGUGCAGUAGGGGAGACUGGAAUUCCUGGUGUAGCGGUGGAAUGCGCAGAUAUCAGGAGGAACACUGACCCGAAGGCAGGUCUCUGUCCUGUAACUGACCAUGAGGAGCGAAAGCAUGGGGAGCGAACAGGAUUAGAUACCCUGGUAGUCCCAGCCGUCAACGUUGGGCUCUAGGUGUGGGGACCAUUCCACGGUUUCCGCGCCGCAGCUAACGCAUUAAGUGCCCCGCCUGGGGAGUCCGG
rnacentral:rRNA from 1 species